GCCGUAAGUGAACCUGCGGCUGGAUCAUUA
rnacentral:rRNA from 1 species